rnacentral:snRNA from 1 species
CACAGCCCAAGUUUGCUGU